CCUACCUGGUUGAUCCUGCCAGUAGUCAUAUGCUUGUUUCAAAGACUAAGCCAUGCAUGUCUAAGUCCAGCUGCGCGUUGUUCGUUAACGCGGGCAACGUGCGGCGAAACCGCGGACGGCUCAUUAAAUCAGUUGUGGUCUAAAUGGGCUUCAGUUAUUAUUGGAUAACUGUGGUAAUUCCAGAGCUAAUACAUGCGACUCAGAUCCCUAGUUUACGUCCUCGUGGCGUGGACGACGGAUGCUUUUAUUAGACCGAGGUGUACUCCCCAGCGUAUACGGGGUGGCUUGCGUGGGUUAACGCCUGCGUUCGUCAUCUCACGCUGUGGGUUGUAGCUUAUAUGGUGACUCUGGAUAACACCUAUGAUAAGCGCACGUAUCGUCAAUGCGACGGCGGCGCUGCCACUUUCGAGUGACUGCCUUAUCAGCCAUGUAACGUUUGUUAUGCGCAAACGCUGGCUCUGACGGGUAACGGAGAAUCAGGGUUCGAUUCCGGAGAGGCAGCCUGAGAAACGGCUACCACGUCCAAGGACGGCAGCAGGCACGCAAAUUACCCAAUCCCAGCACCUGGGGGAGGUAGUGACGAAACAUACUGAUGCGGGCGCUUCUUCGGAGGCCCCGCAAUCAGAAUGGGUAUUUCCUAAACACCCUAUCGAGAACCUACUGAAGGGCAAGUCUGGUGCCAGCAGCCGCGGUAAUUCCAGCUUCAGUGGCGUAUACUAAAGUUGCUGCGGUUGAAAGGCUCGCAGUUGAAUGUCUGUUAAUCGAGCGUAGACGGGUCUAGACGUUGGGCACGUGGCUAUACUCGGCGAGGACGAAAGUCUGAGUCGCGGUGUUCCGCGUUGUUCCCGUCUUAUUCGUACCCUCUCGCUCUAUGGCAUAGUGCGCUAUUGCGCGCGCGUCGGGUAGUAAUUGCUCAGCGCGUUGCGUGUUAACGCGAUGUCACCUUGAGUAAAUCAGAGUGCUCAAAGCAGUCGGGAAUACAAGGGGGCGGGCCUCACGGUCCAACCCUAGUCUUGUGGGUUCGUCCGUACGGUGUAAUAACCGUGCGUCGGGUUCAUAUGACAGUCUUUGCUUUGCAUGGUACGUCGGAAGACGCCGUCUCUCGUUGGUUGCGCUACAAGCUCGUAUAGUACACGCCAACGAGUGCGGAAUGAUCUGAGAGGGACGGUCGAGGGCAUUGGUAUUGCGAGGCGAGAGGUGAAAUUCUAUAACCCCCGCAAGACCUCCCGAAGCGAAGGCGUCUGCCAAGGACGUUUUCAUUAAUCAUGAACGAAAGUUAGAGGAUCGAAGGCGAUCAGAUACCGCCCUAGUUUUAACCGUAAAUGAUUCCAACCACCAAUCCGCGCGUAGCACCCUCGUCAAGGCUUGUUCUUGACAGUGUGGGCUCGGCGGGCAGCUCUCUUUUCACGGGAAACCAGAGUCUCUGGGUUCCGGGGGGAGUCUGGUUGCAAAGCUGAAACUUAAAGGAAUUGACGGAAAGGCACCACCAGGCGUGGAGCUUGCGGCUCAAUUUGACUCAACACGGGCAAACUUACCAGGCCAGUACUCUUGUAUGACUGACAGAUUGAAAGCUCUUUCUCGAUUAAGUGGAUGGUGGUGCAUGGCCGUUCUUAGUUGGUGGAGUGAUCUGUCUGGUUAAUUCCGAUAACGAACGAGACUCUCCCCUGCUAACCACGGUAUAUAAACGAGUAGACGGUUGGAUUGCUGUAGUUCAAAGAAGGCGCUGCACGAGUGCUAUACGCGCGAGUGUAGGUCCUUCGGACAAGUCCGCCGAUCUUCCGUAGAUAGCUCUCGGUGUUUGGUUGGGUGUUCGACUUUGCGUGUGUGUGCUCGUCUCGUUUACGUGGCGUGUAUACCUCGUACGGGCGUUUCAUUCUCCGAGUGCUGGGAGUCGAUCGCGGAAGCACUUUUCUUCUUAGAGGUAUUGACGACUCCGUUAAAGUCGUAAGAGACUGAGAGCAAUAACAGGUCUGUGAUGCCCUUAGAUGUCCUGGGCCGCACGCGAGCUACAAUGCCGGGUACAGCAGGUCUAUUCCCCUUCUCCGAAAGGAGUGGGUAACCCUCUGUAAAACUUCGGGCGCGGUCGAGCGUAUUCGUACGCCGGUCGUGUCGUGGCUCGCUUGGGCCUGGGGCUUGCAAUUGUUUCCCACUAACGAGGAAUGCCUUGUAGUGGCGGGUCACUGAGCCCGCAGUGACUCAGUCCCUGCCCUUUGUACACACCGCCCGUCGCUACUACCGAUUGAGUGUACCAGUGAGAUUCUUGGACUGUCGGACCUCGUGCGCGUUCUUUGCGGAUCGUGUGCGAGGCGUCAACGAGGAAAGAGACUCGAACUGGUGCACUUAGAGGAAGUAAAAGUCGUAACAAGGUUUCCGUAGGUGAACCUGCGGAAGGAUCAUUA
rnacentral:rRNA from 1 species